rnacentral:rRNA from 1 species
UACGGAGGGUGCAAGCGUUGUCCGGAUUUAUUGGGUUUAAAGGGUGCGUAGGCGGCCCGUUAAGUCAGUGGUGAAAGCCUCCAGCUCAACUGGAGAACUGCCAUUGAUACUGACGGGCUUGAGUACAGACGAGGUUGGCGGAAUUGAUUGUGUAGCGGUGAAAUGCAUAGAUACAAUCAAGAACUCCGAUUGCGUAGGCAGCUAACUAGGCUGUAACUGACGCUGAGGCGCGAAAGCUAGGGGAGCGAACGGG